rnacentral:rRNA from 1 species
GAUAAACGCUGGCGGUGUACAUAAGACAUGCAAGUCGAACGGGAGAAACUAAGAUGGAUUUAUUCAACUUAGCAGACACCGUGGCGGAUGGGUGAGUAACACGUAAGCAACCUGCCUAAAAGAGGGGAAUAACAGAGAGAAAUUUCUGAUAAUACCGCAUAUACCAAAGUAUCGCAUGGUACAAUUGGGAAAGAUUUAUCACUUUUAGAUGGGCUUGCGUCUGAUUAGCUAGUUGGUGAGAUAAUAGCUCACCAAGGCGACGAUCAGUAGCCGGAUUGAGAGGUUGAACGGCCACAUUGGGACUGAGACACGGCCCAGACUCCUACGGGAGGCAGCAGUCGGGAAUAUUGCACAAUGGAGGAAACUCUGAUGCAGUGACACCGCGUAUAGGAAGAAGGCCUUAGGGUUGUAAGCUAUUGUCGUGUGAGAAGAAAAUGACUAUCACAGGAGGAAGCCCUGGCUAAAUAUGUGCCAGCAGCCGCGGUAAUACAUAUGGGGCGAGCGUUAUCCGGAUUUAUUGGGUGUAAAGGGUUCGUAGGCGGGAAAGUAAGUCAGUAUGUGAAAUCCCUCGGCUCAACCGAGGAACUGCGAUUGAAACUAUUUUUCUUGAGUACUGGAGGGGAAAGUGGAAUUCUUAGUGUAGCGGUGAAAUGCGUAGAUAUUAGGAAGAACACCAGUGGCGAAGGCGACUUUCUGGACAGUAACUGACGCUGAGGAACGAAAGUGUGGGGAGCAAACAGGAUUAGAUACCCUGGUAGUCCACACUGUAAACGAUGGAUACUAGGGGUUGGCAUAGGAAAUGUCGGUCCCGCAGUUAACGCAUUAAGUAUCCCACCUGGGGAGUACGACCGCAAGGUUAAAACUCAAAGGAAUUGACGGGGGCCCGCACAAGCAGUGGGGUAUGUGGUUUAAUUCGACGCAACGCGAAGAACCUUACCAGGGCUUGACAUGAUUAGGAAUAUAUAAGAGAUUAUAUAGCUCUACGGAGUCUAAUUACAGGUGGUGCAUGGUUGUCGUCAGCUCGUGUCGUGAGAUGUUGGGUUAAGUCCCUAAACGAGCGCAACCCUUAUCGCUAGUUGCUAACAUUAAGUUGAGGACUCUAGUGAGACUGCCGUUUAUUAAAACGGAGGAAGGAGAGGAUGACGUCAAAUCAUCAUGCCCUUUAUGUCCUGGGCUACACACGUACUACAAUGGGUAGGACAAAGGGAAGCAACGGAGUGAUCCUGAGCAAAACCCAAAACCUAUUCACAGUUCGGAUUGAAGGCUGAAAUUCGCCUUCAUGAAGCCGGAAUUGCUAGUAAUGGCAGGUCAGCAUACUGCCGUGAAUACGUUCCCGGGCCU